rnacentral:rRNA from 1 species
CCUACGGGAGGCAGCAGGAGGGAAUCUUACACAAUGGGCGAAAGCCUGAUGGAGCAACGCCGCGUGGGUGAAGAAGGUCUUCGGAUCGUAAAACCCUGUUGUUAGAGAAGAAAGUGCGUGUGAGUAACUGUUCACGUCUCGACGGUAUCUAACCAGAAAGCCACGGCUAACUACGUGCCAGCAGCCGCGGCAAUACGUAGGUGGCAAGCGUUAUCCGGAUUUAUUGGGCGUAAAGGGAACGUAGGCGGUCGUUUAAGUCUGAUGUGAAAGCCUUCGGCUUAACCGGGGUAGUGCAUUGGAAACUGGGAGACUUGAGUGCAGGAGAGGGGAGUGGAACUCGAUGUGUAGCGGUGAAAUGCGUAGAUAUAAGGAAGAACACCAGUGGCGAAGGCGGCUCUCUGGACUGUAACUGACGCUGAGGUUCGAAAGCGUGGGUAGCAAACAGGAUUAGAUACCCCAGUAGUC